rnacentral:rRNA from 1 species
UACAGAGGGUGCGAGCGUUAAUCGGAAUUACUGGGCGUAAAGCGCGCGUAGGCGGCUUUGCAAGCCGGAUGUGAAAUCCCCGGGCUUAACCUGGGAACUGCAUUCGGGACUGCAUUGCUAGAGUAUGGGAGAGGGAAGUGGAAUUUCAGGUGUAGCGGUGAAAUGUGUAGAUAUCUGAAGGAACAUCAGUGGCGAAAGCGACUUCCUGGACCAAUACUGACGCUCAUGUGCGAAAGCGUGGGGAGCAAACAGG